GUCAGGAUGGCCGAGCGGUCUAAGGCGCUGCGUUCAGAUUUCUGUUCUGUGGGCGUGAGUUCGAAUCCCACUUCUGGCA